UGGAAGUAAAAAGUCGUAACAAGGUUUCCGUAGGUGAACCUGCGGAAGGAUCAUAGUAAUCGUCUCUGACGCACUUGCUACCGUCCACCGGACGCUAAGACGCUCUGACGAAGAGGAUAACUCGUCCGCAGUGUUACCUCCGGGCACACGUUAAAGAUCGCUCUGYGUUGUGAGUCUCAAACCGUUGUAAAACACUACAACCGGUAGCAUUGGAUCCCUUGGCACGUCAUUCGAUGAAGACCGUUGCAAAUUGCGAUAAAGUGAUGUGAUGCGCAAGUCCACCACUUAUACGUGAAUCAUCGAGUUGUUGAACGCACUGCACCGCGCCCUAAUCCGGCUGCGGUAUGCCCCUUUGAGCGUCAUUGUUCACCUUCGUGAGCCGUUGUGCACCUGCACUCUGGCCCGAGUUCGGAGUCCUCGGUCCUCCUCUGGACCGUGUUCUCUUAGAUCCAGCACGCUAUGCAUCCUGGCGGGUUCUCUAAUGCCUGAGCGCAGAGACCCGUUCGCGUUGAGAGCGUUCCGACCGCGACGUGUGAGCGCGCGUCAGCAAGGCCCGCUUGCGGGUACUACACUACAUGACCUCAUUGGGGUAGGACAACCCGCUAGACUUAAGCAUAUCAAUAAGCGGAGGAAC
rnacentral:rRNA from 1 species